AAUAUUGCACAAUGGGGGAAACCCUGAUGCAGCAACGCCGCGUGAAGGAAGAAGGUCAUCGGAUCGUCCCCUUCUUUGAUGAGGGACGAAAAAAAUGACGGUACCUCAAAAACAAGCCACGGCUAACUACGUGCCAGCAGCCGCGGUAAUACGUAGGUGGCGGGCGUUGUCCGGAAUUAUUGGGCGUAAAGGGCGCGUAGGCGGUUUCUUAAGUCAGAUGUGAAAACCCGGGGCUCAACUCCGGGCAUGCAUUUGAAACUGGGGAACUAGAGUGCAGGAGAGGUAAGUGGAAUUCCUAGUGUAGCGGUGAAAUGCGUAGAGAUUAGGAGGAACACCAGUGGCGAAGGCGGCUUACUGGACUGUAACUGACGCUGAGGCGCGAAAGCGUGGGGAGCAAACAGG
rnacentral:rRNA from 1 species